rnacentral:rRNA from 1 species
GUGAAAAAGAACCUGAAACCGUGUACGUACAAGCAGUGGGAGCACGCUUCGGCGUGUGACUGCGUACCUUUUGUAUAAUGGGUCAGCGACUUAUAUUCUGUAGCAAGGUUAACCGAAUAGGGGAGCCGAAGGGAAACCGAGUCUUAACUGGGCGUUAAGUUGCAGGGUAUAGACCCGAAACCCGGUGAUCUAGCCAUGGGCAGGUUGAAGGUUGGGUAACACUAACUGGAGGACCGAACCGACUAAUGUUGAAAAAUUAGCGGAUGACUUGUGGCUGGGGGUGAAAGGCCAAUCAAACCGGGAGAUAGCUGGUUCUCCCCGAAAGCUAUUUAGGUAGCGCCUCGUGAAUUCAUCUCCGGGGGUAGAGCACUGUUUCGGCAAGGGGGUCAUCCCGACUUACCAACCCGAUGCAAACUGCGAAUACCGGAGAAUGUUAUCACGGGAGACACACGGCGGGUGCUAACGUCCGUCGUGAAGAGGGAAACAACCCAGACCGCCAGCUAAGGUCCCAAAGUCAUGGUUAAGUGGGAAACGAUGUGGGAAGGCCCAGACAGCCAGGAUGUUGGCUUAGAAGCAGCCAUCAUUUAAAGAAAGCGUAAUAGCUCACUGGUCGAGUCGGCCUGCGCGGAAGAUGUAACGGGGCUAAACCAUGCACCGAAGCUGCGGCAGCGACGCUUAUGCGUUGUUGGGUAGGGGAGCGUUCUGUAAGCCUGUGAAGGUGUGCUGUGAGGCAUGCUGGAGGUAUCAGAAGUGCGAAUGCUGACAUAAGUAACGAUAAAGCGGGUGAAAAGCCCGCUCGCCGGAAGACCAAGGGUUCCUGUCCAACGUUAAUCGGGGCAGGGUGAGUCGACCCCUAAGGCGAGGCCGAAAGGCGUAGUCGAUGGGAAACAGGUUAAUAUUCCUGUACUUGGUGUUACUGCGAAGGGGGGACGGAGAAGGCUAUGUUGGCCGGGCGACGGUUGUCCCGGUUUAAGCGUGUAGGCUGGUUUUCCAGGCAAAUCCGGAAAAUCAAGGCUGAGGCGUGAUGACGAGGCACUACGGUGCUGAAGUAACAAAUGCCCUGCUUCCAGGAAAAGCCUCUAAGCAUCAGGUAACAUCAAAUCGUACCCCAAACCGACACAGGUGGUCAGGUAGAGAAUACCAAGGCGCUUGAGAGAACUCGGGUGAAGGAACUAGGCAAAAUGGUGCCGUAACUUCGGGAGAAGG